rnacentral:misc_RNA from 1 species
GAAAUGCGAUAAGUAAUGUGAAUUGCAGAAUUCCGUGAAUCAUCGAAUCUUUGAACGCACAUUGCGCCCUCUGGUAUUCCGGGGGCAUGCCUGUCCGAGCGUCAUUGCGAACCCCUCAAGCACGGCUUGUGUGAUGGGCCCUCCCGCGUCUUGGUCGUCAAGACGGGCCCGAAAAGCAGUGGCGGCUUCGCGGUUAUCCGAUCAGCCAGAGCGUAUGGGGACUUUCUCUCUGUCACACGCCCGCGGCGCGGACCGACGCCUGUCGACCUUUAUUCAUCUUUUUCUCGGUUGACCUCUGAUCAGGUAGGGAUACCCGCUGAACUUAAGC